GGGGAUUUGAGAUCAGAAGCUGAAGAUCCAGAGGGAGAAAGAGAGGUGGAUAUCUGAAAACAAGAGAGGUGGCCAAGAAAAAGAGAGAGGGGUUGCCUUUUUGAGUUGGAGAAAACAAGAGAUCUGAGGGUGCUGUUUUUUUAGUCCUUUUCUGUAAGCAGAUUCAUAUUUGUGGGAAACUCCAGAAUUUAGAUGGAGUAGUUGCAUACCUGUAUUUUUUUUACUGCCUUGGAUCACUUGGACAACUCCAGAAAUUGUCUCUUUNNNNNNNNNNAAAACAACAGAUCUGAGGGUGCUGUUUUUUUAGUCCUUUUCUGUAAGCAGAUUUAUAUUUGUGGGAAACUCCAGAAUUUAGAUGGAGCAGUUGCAUACCUGUAAUUUUUUACUGCCUUGGAUCACUUGGACAACUCCAGAAAUUGUCUCUUUUCUUGAUGCUUUUCUGUUGGUAUUUGUUUCUUGCUGGUAUGUUCAUGCCAGUGGGCUUUUGUGGAGGGAGG
rnacentral:lncRNA from 1 species